rnacentral:lncRNA from 1 species
AAGCGAUUUCAUAGCCACGGUAACGGCGGGGUGGAAAGCUAAGGCCUUUGAAGACCUGGGACCCCGUAGUUUCGGGAGAGGGUGACUGUCCCACCCAUUUAGUUGAAUGUAGCGGCCAGAGAGGCACUCGCGGCAGCCCGUACGGGUGGGACCUCUCGGUGUCCUUCGGGAAACAGGAGGAGCAAGUUCGACUCCAGCGAGGGAAAACGGAGCCUCACCAGAAGUCUUUCAUCUCGGUGGUCCAACUCAGGAUCUCAGCCUCAUUAUUUUCUUACCCUUCUGGAGUGCAUAUGUGCCUUUACAGUUUCUGUUUGCAAACGCUGUCUAGCAUACUAAGAGGAUGUUAGCAAACCUGUUCCAUGGACACUAAAUGGCAGUUGUACAUCUCCCCUCAUCAGUCAUAGUGACAACCAGAAAUGCCCUCCAUAUUUUCCAGUGAUCCCAGUCUUCAAUGCGUCUGUCUCAUAAUUUGUAAACGUUUAUUAUCUUGAAGUCAUUGUUAAUCUGUGGUGAAAAGUAAUUGCUAAAUAGAAAUUCUGAGAAGA